UCCGGCAUAGCUCAGCGGUAGAGCGGAUGGCUGUUAACCAUUAGGUCGCUGGUUCGAGCCCAGCUGCCGGAGCCA
rnacentral:tRNA from 1 species